rnacentral:lncRNA from 1 species
CGGGGCGCGCGCCCCGGCCCAGCCCAGCCUCCGCCUAACACCGCCUUAAAGCAAAAAUACCUGCUAGAGCCGGGCCUGCCGUGCAGACUUACACGGAGGUCUUCUGCGCCCGGAGGGCAAUGUUUUCCGNGGACGCGCCCGGGGACGCGGGGCGCGCGCCCCGGCCCAGCCCAGCCUCCGCCUCCAACCGCCUUAAAGCAAAAAUACCUGCUAGAGCCGGGCCUGCCGUGCAGACUUACACGGAGGUCUUCUGCGCCCGGAGGCGUAAAGCCCCUCAAGACGGAGCCUUCCUCGUCUGUGCACUUCCCCUUGACGUGACAGUGGUGACAACUGAGAGAGACCACGGAGCCGUGGCGAGCCCUGAGGCAGCCCGUCAUGCUGCAGGCGGACGGCUUCGCAGAAAUCAGGGGCAGCGGAACCAGGCCUCACAGCCCGUGUCUGGAGCAGAGCCUGGGCUCCCUCGUAGCAAAGUGGGACAGCACGUUCCAAACGCACUGCCUUCGGCUGCUGUUGGCAGUUCAGGACGUGGCCCCACUGCGGCGACGGACACCUGCAGGGCGACGACACCUGUGUGGAAUGCACUUGCUUCAUUGAUCAACUGA